UGGUGACACCAGUUGUAUGGUGCAAAAGCUAGCACAAUUUUAAUUGGCGAGCUUUGUUUUUUUGGAUUUGUGAACUUAUAAGCCAUAGAAUGUUAGUUUUUAUACUUCCGUUUUCUACCUUUUGUAGUUGAACAUUCCCUAUGAAUUGAGGAGAUGUUGCUUUUCAACUCAAACUGUACCCAAAGCAACCAUGUAUAUUGUGAUUUUGAGAGUUGGGUUUUGUUCUUCAAUGGGCAGUUGCCACUUGCUAGAGUUCAUGGUAUGUAAUAGAUACAUAUGGAUGUGCUAAUUUGUUUGUGGAUACAUCACUUCAUAUUUAAACUCCCCCCUAUUCUUCGUCUCUUAAUGCAUGUAUGUGGGCUGCCAGGCAAAGCCUAGCUUGAAGUUGAAUCCGCCCGAAUAGCACCUGCCCAACAAGGACAUAGCAAUCAAACCAUUGCAAAAGAAGAAAAAUGGCAUCAUUAGAUGUUUGGGUUUUGAGUAGGUCGAGAGCCCCAAGUUUGAAUUUAAUGUCAUUUGGCCGAACCUCCAUCAUUCUUUCUUUACCUCGUCGAGAGAGAUUUGGAGAUGAAGCUUUCAAAAGGACCAUGGAUAACUACAGCAGCCAUUGCAAACCCUAAAAAUCUCCCUUGAGUUCAUCACAUCUUCUUCUCUGUAUCCAAUUUUGAAUCAUUUGUUCAGACUCUUAAGGAAGAAGGAUCUUGGCAGAUACAAUUACAUUGGUGGAAUAAACUCUACCAAGAGCUUUUGCUUUGUCUGACUAGAAUAAACUCUACCUUUUGCUAUGUCUAAUCCUUUGGCAAUUGUAUAAAAAACCCUAUAGCCAAAGUCAAAGUCAUGCAAGUAGCUGAAUAACUUGAAACCUUUUUUUCAGUGCAAAAACUUAUCUAGGCCAUAACUUCUACAACUAUCAACUUCUGAUGAUACACUUUAUCAAGCUUAUCCAUAUAGCCUUUGCUAUGAUCAACAACAGCCAUAAUUUAAACAAAAUCCAAAACGCAUCUAUACAAUGGGCAUGAAUGAUGUGAUGUGCACGUCGGCAUGCACCUA